rnacentral:rRNA from 1 species
UACGGAGGGUGCAAGCGUUAUCCGGAUUCACUGGGUUUAAAGGGUGCGUAGGUGGGCUGGUAAGUCUGUGGUGAAAUCCCCGAGCUUAACUUGGGAACUGCCAUGGAUACUAUCAGUCUUGAAUACCGUGGAGGUCAGCGGAAUAUGUCAUGUAGCGGUGAAAUGCAUAGAUAUGACAUAGAACACCCAUUGCGAAGGCAGCUGACUACGCGGAGAUUGACACUGAGGCACGAAAGCGUGGGGAUCAAACAGG